GUGGCAGUGUGUUCAUUUCAAUGGAAACAACUUUGUUAUGUCUUCAGUAUUCAUUUGGCAGUGCUGAGAAUGAGUGGUUUCAGAUUAUCUUCAUCCUAAAACAGAUCAUUUCUCUCAUCAAAAUGUCCCAUGCUCUCCUCAGACUAAUCUGCAUGGGAUUGGUCUUUACAGGGUCCAAAGCAAGCAGUCUGGUCAACCAAUCUCCUCCUGAUAUCAUCCAGAGCAUUGGUCAAUCUGGACCAUGGAUCCAGUGUUCUCACCACAUACAAAACUAUGAUAGGAUUCUUUGGUAUAAACAAACAAAGGACGGACAGUUAACAUAUUUGGGAUAUCUGUUUGGCAAAGAU